AUUGAACGCUGGCGGCAGGCCUAACACAUGCAAGUCGAACGGUAACAGGAAGAAGCUUGCUUCUUUGCUGACGAGUGGCGGACGGGUGAGUAAUGUCUGGGAAACUGCCUGAUGGAGGGGGAUAACUACUGGAAACGGUAGCUAAUACCGCAUAACGUCGCAAGACCAAAAAGGGGGACCUUCGGGCCUCUUGCCAUCUGAUGUGCCCAGAUGGGAUUAGCUAGUAGGUGGGGUAACGGCUCACCUAGGCGACGAUCCCUAGCUGGUCUGAGAGGAUGACCAGCCACACUGGAACUGAGACACGGUCCAGACUCCUACGGGAGGCAGCAGUGGGGAAUAUUGCACAAUGGGCGCAAGCCUGAUGCAGCCAUGCCGCGUGUAUGAAGAAGGCCUUCGGGUUGUAAAGUACUUUCAGCGGGGAGGAAGGGAGUAAAGUUAAUACCUUUGCUCAUUGACGUUACCCGCAGAAGAAGCACCGGCUAACUCCGUG
rnacentral:rRNA from 1 species